rnacentral:lncRNA from 1 species
GGCCAGCCUGGCCGGGUCGCGGCGGCUAGCACUGAACAAGGGGCUGCUGCCUGCCGGUAGUGACCGGCUUCGGGGAAGAGUGGACAGGGCUCUCUAGACCGCACCCGCGCUUCCAGGGAGGUGGAGGGUGGACUGUUUUCUCCAGUCCAAGCUGGAGGAGACCAGUGACAUCCGGUCUAAGACCUUGGACCUCAGGAAGGGUAAGUACACUUGUUCUGGCUGUUAUCUCAUCCUGGGAGUUUAGAAGCUCAGUCUUGCCCAACCUAAACCUUCAACUUUGUAACAGAAUCAUCAAUCUUCCCUGUCAGCAGACUUUCAAGACGGCCUCAUAAACAUUCAAAAGAGAAGUGCCCUGAAGACUUCAGCUAAGCAAAUAAACUUCAAGGGAAACAUUAAAGCCCUUGCCCUAAAAUGUCAUCCAGGGAAGUACGUAAGCUGGAGAGGACAAUAUAGAUUUUCCUUUUUCCUUCUUAAAAACAAAAACCAAAAAUAACUCCAUUAAAAAUCGUUGUUGCCAGAGACCAGUGUGACCAUUAUACUUGGCUCCGGGUCUCAGCGCUCACCUAUGUUAACAGAGAAAAGGAAUAUGACAGACAGAUAUGAAGUGGAAAAAAUGAAUUUAUUUAAAAGUUUUGGAAAGAAAAUUCUCUGCUUUUCCCAUAGCCAGUGUUACAGGGUCUAGCCCCAGCGGGAAAUCUACAUAUGCAGAUUUAGCAGCUGUGAGCCCCUGAGGUACUGGGAUUAGGUUACUGGGAUCAGAGUGCUUCAGGUGGGCCAUUUGCUAUCAACCACCUGUGAAGUAGGUUCAUUACCACUGUUUUAUACUUUAAGAAUCUGCCGCUUCCGGGAAGGCGAGUCUUGAGCAGUUCUGAACAGUGAGCACCAGCAUAGCUUGCCACAACCUGCACUUAAUCUUUUUUCAAGAUGUCCCCCUUCCGGCCUGCCCUCAGUCCUGUCUAGUAAGGCAUGACGAUCCACUUGGGCUGCACACAGGCUCACUUGGGCCUUCAUUUUGUUAUUGAGUGGUUUUUCACAACUUAGUGAAGGAAAAUGGGGAAUGCAAAAGUUACCCUCAAGGAACCCAAGUCUGAAUCUUGUGUCAUCCCAGAAAGCAAUGGGAAUACGGGGAAAGUUGCAACUCUUACUAUUCUUUUAUAUUACUUACUAUUUUUUAUACAAG